AGACGAACCGUCCAAACGUUAUUCGGAAUCACUGGGCUUAAAGGGUGCGUAGGCGGCUCUGCAAGUUGGAUGUGAAAGCCCUCGGCUCAACCGAGGAAUUGCGCCCAAAACUGCUGGGCUUGAGGGAGACAGAGGUGAGCGGAACUUAGGGUGGAGCGGUGAAAUGCGUUGAGAUCCUAAGGAACACCAGUAGCGAAAGCGGCUCACUGGGUCUCUUCUGACGCUGAGGCACGAAAGCUAGGGGAGCGAAGAGGAUUAGAUACCCUCGUAGUCCUAGCCGUAAACGAUGAGUACUGAUUUGGAGGCUCCUCCAUAGGCUUCCAGAUGUAGCGAAAGUGUUAAGUGCUCCGCCUGGGGAGUAUGGUCGCAAGGCUGAA
rnacentral:rRNA from 1 species